GUCUGAAGCAAAUACAGAGAGAGAGAGAAAUGGCUUGUGUUCCUCUAACUUCUCUGAUGAAUACAAUCCACUUUGAGUUCUUACAACCCUGCAGAGCACCUGUGAUUCUUGCUGAAGAUACAGCACAUUUGGUUAGUUCUCUCCACCAUAAUCUUGGUUUCUUGCUCACCUUUCUUGAGGAAUUCCAGAAAAAACCCGGAAAUGAUGAUGCUGCAAUCAAAGAUUUGGAAGCCAAAAUCAGAGACUUCGCCUUUUUAGCAGAAGAUGAAGUUGAAUCAAAUCUGGCAAAGAUAUAUAUGGAGGCGGCAGAUAAGGAGAUGACACUCUUUCAGAACCUACAACAAGUACUAGGUGAAGAUGCAGAGAUGAUACUUUUUCAGAACCUACGACAAGUAGCUGAAAAAACUCAAAACUUCGUUAACGGAAUUAAAAGAGAAUACAAUGAUUCUGCUGUCCAAGAUUUGACAAAGGUACAAGCCCUUCCGUUAUCUUCACAUGAGUGGAUCUCAAAGAUUGAGGACCGAAUGAUUGGGCGUAGAAGAGAAUUAAAAACAAUAAAGAAUCAGCUCAUUCAUCAACCAUCUAAAGAAGGGAAAGUCAUUUCCAUUCUUGGGAUGGGCGGGAUCGGUAAAACUACUUUAGCCAAAAGCGUUUACGAAGAUCCAUCAGUGCUAUCCUACUUUGACCUUCGUGCAUGGACUACUGUCUCUCAAGAAGUUAACAUGAGACAAAUUCUCUGCAGCCUUCUUUGGUCCAUUCAGAGAGGAAUGAAUACCGAGGGAAGCACACUAGAUGAACUAGCACACAAGCUACGACAGCGUUUGAUGGGUAUGAGGUAUCUGAUUGUGGUGGAUGACGUAUGGGAAACCAAUGUCUGGGAUUAUCUCACCAGAUGUUUUCCUAAAAGUUAUGGAAGUGUAGUAUUGGUGACCUCUCGGCUAAGAGAGAUUGCAGACUACACUACAUCAGGUGCCAGCAAUCUUCUUCAUGACUUGCAUUUUCUCAAUUCUGAUAAAAGUUGGGAUCUAUUUUGCAGUCAUAUUUUCUUGAAACAGCCCUUGCACUCUAAGUUCAACACAAUUGGAAGGAAUAUUGUUGGCAAGUGUGGGGGGCUUCCCCUGGCAAUUGUUGUAGCUGCUGGACUUGUAUCCCAAUUCAGCAAAGUUGAAGAAUUGGAAAAGCUUGAGAAAGAAAUGAGCUAUCUUGCUAGUACAGAUAUUGGUGAACAAUGCUCAAGAAUUCUUAUUGUAAGUUACAAUCAUUUACCUCCGCAUUUGAAAGCUUGCUUUUUAUAUUUAGGAGUUUUCUCAGCCGGUAGUGAAAUUCCUAUCAAAAAGCUUGUUAGGUUAUGGAUUGCCGAGGGGUUUGUGAAGUUAGUGAGUGAUAAGGAAUUGGAAGAAGUGGGUGUGGGGUAUUUACAUGAUCUUAUUAGUAGAAGUCUCGUCCAAAUUGAUAAGCUUAAAUGUGAUGGCCAAAUCAAGACAUGUAGGAUGCAUGAUCUCUUGCUUGGACUUUGUGUACGACAAGCAACAAAUGAAAAACUUUUGUGUGUUGAAGACAAUAAUAGUUUUGAUAUGUGCAACAUUAUUAGUUCGAAAAAAGCCAGUGGUAUUUGGGAUUGGCUUACUUGGCUAGGUUUUAAAUCAUCAUCAAAGCUGCCUAAGCCUUUUGAUAUGUGCAGCAAUUCCAAAAAAGCCUGCGGUACUUGUCGUUGGCUAAGUUUUAGAUCAUCAAAUUUAAAGUCUGAGCAUUUUGAUUUUUGCAACAGUAAAGCCCGCUCCAUUUUGUGUUUGCAUAAAGAUGAAAUAAUGCCAAUGGUCAAUGAUCCAAAGCCUCUAAACUUCAGCUUGUUAAUAGUUCUAGAUUUGACUUCUCCUUUGUACAACAAGGGAGUCCAUUUGUCCGCCCUAGAUCAUCUAUCCAAUAUAGUUCUUCUAAGAUACCUAGCUUUUGAGAUGGAUAGGUCUCUUGGCUCCGAGGGUCUCAAGAAUCUACUGUCUAAAAAUAAAAAAUUACAAACACUUAUUGUUUCACAUAGUGCCCCUCACUGGCAAGUGCAUUGUUCUCAUUUGCCAUCCACAAUUUGGGGAUCACCACAGUUAAGGCAUCUUGAGCUUAGACAAAACUUCUUUAAAGUGGAGCCUCCAGGCAUUGUGAAAGAGGACUUGCAAGUUUGGUAUUGGUUGAGCAUAUUUCAUUGCACUAGAGAAGUUAUUUCUAGGAUUCCCAACGUAAAAACGUUAGGGAUUUUUUGUGAAGAUAGAUUGAUUCCUGACGAUGGUGUGCCUUCCAAUGAUGCUUUCAACUUGAAAAAUCUAUGUUAUUUGAAUCAUCUUGAGGUUUUAACUAUUGAAGCUGAGUAUGCCAUUCCUAAGCGUAUGUCCCUUCCAAGUAUAGAUGCACUUCCCUGUAACCUUAGGAAGUUGAAACUAAGCAGGGCUUAUCUGCCAUGGAAGGAUAAUAUAUCAACAAUUGCCUUGUUGCCUAGACUAGAGGUUCUCAAACUAAAAAUGGAUGCUUUCUAUGGACCUGAGUGGGAACCAACUGAAGGGGGAUUUCGUCGAUUAAAGUUUUUGCAACUUGAAAACACACAACUUGAGAUUUGGAAUGCCUUUGAUGAUGAGUUCCCUAUACUUGAGCGUCUAGCGCUGAAGUAUUGUAAGAGAUUAAAAGAGAUCCCAAGUUCUUUCUCAACCAUUAAUUCUUUACAAUCCAUUGACUUUGAAAGCUGUAACCCUGCCCUUUUGACUUGUACCGAGAAUAUCCAAGAAGUACAGGUCAAUUAUGGAUAUGAUAUUUUUGCUGUUAUUGACCGCACUCCUCAGGUCCAUCUCUUUUGCACUUUUUUCUACUCUGAUAAUAUCCUCACUCCUUUUUUAUUUUUUUAUUUUUUUAUUUUUUAUUUUUUUAUUUUGUAUUGUGUGUGUUGAUGAAUGCAGUACACUUUUGAGCAACGUAUGAGCAACAGAGGCAAGGCUGCGUUAGAUUAAAGUUGAUGUCGCAAUUGAUCUUGCUAAAAGUGUUCCUUCGAGAGGAGUCCACACUGCGAAUGGAGGCAGAAGCUCUAAGGGAGGCUCUUCUUUUGAUGCAGAAACACAAUCUAAGGGAGGCUCUUCUUUGGAUGCCGUCAAGAGUUUCACCGAUCUACAAUCUGCGUCGUCGACGAGUGGGGAGCGAGGGUGAGAGGCCGUUAGAAAGGAGCUAGUUGAAACCAGAAGUCACCACAAAUUCGCACGCGCCGGUGCUCAGCUCGCCCACUGAUGUAGGGUUAUAGUUGUUGCUUGAAAGAUAGAUGAUUUCUGAAAUAAGGCA